rnacentral:misc_RNA from 1 species
CGCUAUCUCUGUCAAUAACCUCGCAAGCAUAGAGAUACAUAAAACUCGCAAGGGGAAAUAUUCCCUCUAACCUGAGCCACAUCUGAGCUAAGGCGAUGCUACGCUACGUUUUGACCGGCUGAAAUUAUUCUGUACUACUUGAUGUGAAGUCGAUUUUCUAUAAAAUUUAAUGAACAAAUGUUAUAGAACGUCGAGGCACUCCGUAAAUCGUAGGAAAACGAAUAAUUCAUUGAAAUAUCACUUCUACUUUGCGCAAAGAUAUCGCGGUUAGUGCUUUCGUACGAGAGAAUUAGUUUUCCAAAUCGAUUCGUCGGAAAAUUACGACAUUACGAUUGGAAAACUAAAUAAUUGUUGGUAUUUUUGACUAGUGGGAAUUUUUCAUCACAAUUUUGAUUAAGGUGUCUAUCUCAGUGGUGUUACGAAUCACAGAGAAAAGAAAUAAAUUUCCACAUAGAACGAGAGUUUAUUUAAUAUUUUCGUUUUUUAUUUGACAAACCAUAGUUACAAUUGCCAACAAUUUCGAAUUCUACGAUGAUGAUAGAAGAGUGUAGUUUCGCUUUUAUGAAGCAAAGUUCUUUAUUUUUUACUAGUUGUAAGUCCAAUUGACGCGUGAUAGAUACUUUGUCACCUAACAAUGGCAAUAAAUUUGGAUAUCAAGCUCAAGAGAGCCAACAAAAUAUAUCACGAAGGGGAAAUUGUGUCGGGAAUAAUACUGCUCAAAUGCAACUCUGAUGUUAAGCACGAUGGCAUUUUCCUCACUAUGGAAGGUUCGGUGAACCUUCAGUUGAGCUCAAAAAAUGUUGGAAUAUUCGAGGCGUUUUAUAACUCUGUCAAGCCGAUCCAGCUGGUGCAGUAUACGCUGGACGUAGCCCCAGCAGGUAAAAUACCAAGUGGCAAAACUGAGAUUCCUUUUGAGUUGCCGCUGAAGCCAAGAGGCAACAAACCUCUGUACGAAACUUACCAUGGGGUAUUCGUCAGCAUUCAGUAUUUGGUUCGCUGCGAUAUCAAGCGAAGCUUCCUGGCAAAAGAUGUUAGCAAGUCUUUGGAAUUUAUCAUGGAAGAUAAGCCGGUGAAUUUACAGUUGCAAAAAGCUCACUCUAAAAUAGUAUUUUACAAAAUAACACCAGAGUCGCUUCAGAACAUCAGAGAAAGAACUGGCGUACCAAAAUUCCUGAUAUCUGGAAGACUUGACUCUGUCUGCUGUAAAUUAACUCAGCCCUUAACCGGAGAGGUGAUUAUUGAACACUGCGAAGUACCCAUAAAGUCGAUUGAGCUUCAGUUGGUGAGAGUGGAAACAUGCGGAUGUGCGGAAGGAUAUUCUAGAGAUGCUACGGAGAUACAAAAUAUACAAAUAGGAGAAGGUAACGUUUGCACUGGGCUAGCGAUACCAGUUUACAUGAUAUUCCCACGGCUGUUUACCUGCCCGACAUUGAAUACAAGUAAUUUCAAAGUUGAGUUCGAAGUAAACCUAAUAGUCGUAUUUGAGGACGACUAUUUGGUCACAGAAAACUUUCCAAUCACUCUAACAAGGCACUAAACGUGCGUCACCAACUAUCACAGUAUGAAUCUGAUGAUUUUCAUCUAUAAUUAUUAUAUCAAUGUAAAUAAUUAAAAAACUGCUCAAAUAAUACUUUAAAAAAUCAUAUUUUCGCAUAACUACCGUUGAUCAAUUCGCUUUGAAUGAUGCGUGUGACUCUGUGAGUAUUCAUAGUGCUGCUGAAAGUUGCUUAUAAUCAUGACUAAUAUCAAAGUAGUGUAAACGUCACAAAGCAAAAUUUCGCUUCUAGUUUUCUUGAAAAGUUUGUAGAUAUGACAGUCUUCGAUUGCCUUUGGUAUCUACAGACCCUCAGAUUGAUUUUGAACCAUUCAAGGCCAACAUAUAAUCUGCUACUACCUGUUUAACAUGGGAAGCAGACACCAUCGGUGGCCUUGAUUUGUCAAUCUAAGGGUCUGUAUAUAUAAAUGUAUGUGAAACAAAUUGAAUUUCGUAUUAAGGACAGUCUGGAUGAUAAACCCUGGAAAUCGUUAAAGUACGGUGUGAUAAAUCUCAACCCAGUCGACUACUGGAAUCCAACUUUUUGGAUAAACAGCCUGCAAUACUUUUCAACGUACUUAUUGUGGGUCAGUCCGACAGAUGCCAACAGAACCACAUAGCCAAGAACAAAAGUGAGCAGCUUGUGCCUUCUGAACCAGGCAACCAACCCUCGUCCUUCCUUGUGCCUGAAAGCAAUGAAGAGUGAUUAAAAAAUAUCUGAUUUAUCUCUGAGAAACUGCUUGGAUUUUUGUUGUUGAUCAUGCACGAAACGCAAUGACAAGUAUCAGAAUGUUGCUAAGACGACAAAAUGGAUUGGAUGAAAAGCCAAAGUCAGAUUUUUAUUCGCGCGCUAGACCGCAAAGGAAGUUGACGUUUUUUUCAUCAGUCCCAUUUACCUUGAAGAAGAAAACUCUUGGCUGUAAACCAGCAGAUAUCUGAUACGAACUAAAUCGCUAUUUACAACGAGGUAGUACUUGUUUGGAACUUUGCCACUCAUUGCAUCGAUUACAGUGUUUCUUGCUGUAUCCUCUAAAUAAGAAAGAAAAAGGUGAUUGAUUAGCUCACACAACGCGAUGCAGCUCAAUUGACUGCCGUGCAUGCUGCCGCCCCAUCCGUAUCCAACAGGACUGUAAGGCAAGCUGACACCCAGUUCGCUAGAGAAGUAGAUGCCUGUGCCGUAGAGAGAUCUCUGGAUAGUAUAACAAAAGCAGCAAAAUAAACAUCGACAAUGAUGCAAGUGCUUGAAGCAGAACAACUAUGCCAACCUUGCACAUGUUCUGCUGUAAGCCGUGGUGGAUUAUUGAGUGGAAAUUCUCAAGUCGACUGCCGUGGUAAGCGUAGAGGGUCGUGUGUCCUUGUGAAGCUGUUCUCCACCUCUCCUCAAACAGGGACUGCUUGGUGCUCGCAACUUGGAAUAUCAAAUUAGGAGGUGCUACUGCCAUUUCGGAUGGAACACGCUUCAGCACAGAGUCAUACUGCAACAUCAUUGUCGGCGAA